GUGCUCACUUCGGCAGCAUAUAUACUAAAAUUGGAACAAUACAGAGAAGAUUAGCACGGCCCCUGCGCAAGGAUGACACACAAAUUCGUGAAGCAUUCCAUAUUUUU
ensembl:snRNA U6 U6 spliceosomal RNA